UAAUUGGUGAAAUGGGAUUACUGAUCUACUUGUUAUUUAUGCUUUUCUGAUUACUGAUACACAUGCAUUGGCACAUGCAGGAAAUGUACUAGAUGGUAAUGACACUCAAGCCUCUGAUUGUGCGCCAGCCAAGUGUCAACAACUUUGCAAUUGGAUUGAGAUUGUGGAAGCUAGCUAGAUAAGCUAGCAAGAUAGUGGAAGGUUUUUUUUUCAGCAUUGUUUUGUAGUGCAUGUGCCUGGCUAUUCUGAAAUCUGUGAUGUAAAAUACUUGGUUGUGUACCAGGGAACAAUGUGUCCAGAUGAAUCACAGUUGCAGUACCUACUGAGUUAAGACAUAUUUUUAAAAAUUCAACAUGUUAUUGGCAUAAAUGUAAAUUCGCAAAUUUUACUGUUUCAGUAGCAGAAAUAUCCAUCCCCGGGGAAUCUGGAAUAUGGUAGUAUCAGGAUCUUACCGAUAUUUCCAGGAAGACUGCUGAAUAACUCCACUGAAGAAGUCAAUCAUGGGGGGUGUUACAUGGUGUGAAGGAGUUUUGCAAAUGUGAUUUAGUGUGGUGGCGAGGGAGGAUCCAGAAAUUGAGAAGCACUUACAGCGGAAGAAACGGAGUGCGCAGUUUCACGACUACACCGUCGAACAAUUUUUGCAGUAGCCGCAACUGGUUGUGAUAUUUAAAGGGCUGCAUUUUUCUGGACAACAACUCGUUUCUCCUGGUAUAACGUUCGCUAAUGGAGUUGUCGUCGGAGACGGUCUAGCACUAUUUUUUCCAGGGCAAUAACUGUCAUGCCCGAUGUGCCUGAUUGAAUGCGCCAGAUUUUAAGCUAACUUUGUUUGGAGAUAUUUUUGUUUGACGAUUUUGAAUUGACUUAACCUUCAGCAGCCUUUCCUUAUGCCGAUUAAAAUCCGUCAGAUCUCAUUGAAGUACAACA